CAUGCCGUAAACGAUGAGUGCUAAGUGUUAGGGGGUUUCCGCCCCUUAGUGCUGCAGCUAACGCAUUAAGUUUUCCGCCUGGGGAGUACGCUCGCAAGAGUGAAACUUAAAGGAAUUGACGGGGGCCCGCACAAGCAGUGGAGCAUGUGGUUUAAUUCGACGCUACGCGAAGAACCUUACCAGGACUUGACAUGGAAUUUAAAACUCUAGAGAUAGAGCCAUAACAAGUUCACACAGGUGG
rnacentral:rRNA from 1 species